UACGAAGGGGGCUAGCGUUGCUCGGAAUUACUGGGCGUAAAGCGCACGUAGGCGGACUGUUAAGUCGGGGGUGAAAUCCUGGAGCUCAACUCCAGAACUGCCUUCGAUACUGGCGAUCUCGAGUUCGGGAGAGGUGAGUGGAACUGCGAGUGUAGAGGUGAAAUUCGUAGAUAUUCGCAAGAACACCAGUGGCGAAGGCGGCUCACUGGCCCGAUACUGACGCUGAGGUGCGAAAGCGUGGGGAGCAAACAGG
rnacentral:rRNA from 1 species